CAGGAAGUUCCGGGUCGAAACGACAGAACUGUGUUGUUUUGUCGAUAGUGGUUGUGUCCGUUUCAAAUGUAUCAUUGUAGACCGACUCAGAUUAAGUCUGAGUCCGUUAACGUCAACAGUGAGGACAAACCCAGCCUUCCUCUCUCCUUCCACACUGAGUAGGAACCUACAGUCACUGGGUCCUGAUUGUGACAGUGGAGCCCAGUUUGCUCUGCAGGAUCCAGAGAUGGCAUCAGUGAAGCUGGAAGACUGCAGUCAAACACUGGAGCUGAAUGUCAACCUUAAAGAUGAAGAAGAGGAGGAGAAGAUUGGGACAACUGUUAGUCAUGGAGACCAUAUUGAGACAUUCUCUACAUCCAGACAGCAACAGCAGGAAGAUCAGAGAGCCACGAGGUCCCAUCCCUGCCCACAUUGUGAAGAGAUAUUCCCAUUUCUAUCAAAGCUAAAAAAUACACCUUCAAAUACACACAGGAGAGAAGCCAUACGUCUGCUCUGAAUGUGGAAAAUGUUUUAAAACAUCAAAUGAGCUAAAAGUUCAUCAGAGAACACACUCAGGAGAGAAGCUUUAUUCCUGCUCUGACUGUGGAAAAUAUUUUAAAACAUCAAAUGAGCUAAAAGUUCAUCAGAGAACACACUCAGGAGAGAAGCCUUACGUCUGCUCU